UUGGUCCACGCGGCAGCGAAGUGCUCGUCGACUCGGUCGGUGACCAAUGAAGACGCUCGUGAAAAAACCUAGAUCGAGCAGUCAAAGGGAUCACGUCCUCCUCGUUCCUUCCACUCCCUCGCCUCCUCCUUCCUCCCCAUCCGGCGGCGCCUCCUCCCUCUUUCCCACGACCUCCCGCAUCGCGCCGCCACCGGCUGGCUCCUCCUCCUCUCUUCUGGAUCGAGCGCAGCCGCCAUAGGAGAGCAUGGGCUCGAACUGAGUGAGGAAGAGGUGGUUUGCGGCCACGCGGGUGAGGAGGGCGGCCUUCCGCUGAACGCCACCGUCCUCUCCUCGCGCGCCCUCGCGGACGGAAGAGGCAGAUAUGUACGGAGGAUCCACGAGCUUGGUGCCAUCCGUCCCGUCCGUCGACGCCCACCCCCUCUUCCCCAACGCGUAGGUGCUCUAUUCACUUGCGUCUUCGCUGCCUCAAGUGUGCGGAUGCGCCACCAGCUGUUUGUAUAAAUGUUCAAGGAGGACUGCUCUGGGGAGGACAGCACGUGUGUUUGAAAGAGAGGGAUGGAAAAGAGAGGGCUGGAGUGAGAGGAGAAGAGGAAGGAAUUGAACCACAUGUUAUUUCUUUGUCAUCGAUGUCAUCCCACCAUUGUAGAGAUUUUCUUGGAUGACAUGCAGCCCAUACUCUCGCCCCUUGUUCUCCAUCUCUAUUGGAUGGUGUGCUAAUUUCCCGGAUGCUUCAUCAGGUUUUGGAAGAAUCGGGCUAAGGGGUGAUUGUGCUCAGGUUUUGAUGCAGUGAGAUUCAAAUAAUUUUAAGAAACACAUGCAAAGGAGUCCAAACAGGACGGGCUCGGUGUACAUGGUUUUCAGUUAAUGCAGUUUAGGUCUGACCAGCACAAGUGGCAACAGGCAGUAGUGGAGAAGGCAUGAAGAGGCCCACAUCUGAAAAUCUCAACUAUUCUACGAUUUUCGAGCUGCUGACCAUGUGAUUGGUAGCCUACGAUUUGUUCAUGGGUUGCUGAUUUCUCAAGUUUUGCCUCACACAAAAGAGGGCUAGCGACACCUUUGACAGAAACAGCCAACGUUCAGUGCAGAACCGGUAUAUUCUGGUUGUCUUCCAUUUAGUUGACGGCAUGCAAGACUGAUCUGAUGCAUCUACUGCUUGUUGACUUGGUUAUAUUUAUCUAUAAAGUGGCAGUGGUGCAGAAUAUAUCCUCUGCCAUGGAAGUAGGUAUUUGAUGCUGUCAGAUGGCAUAUAGGUCAAUAAUGAGGUGACUGCCGGGGUAAUCUCAGGAAGGGACAACGACACAAAUUAACUUCGUUGACAAGCUCACGAUCACGCGUAAUAAAGAUGAUUUUAAGGAACAAGCCGUCCUGCAGUGUUUCCAUGUACUGCAAGUUGACGACAAGUUCAUUGUUGAUGCCAUGCAAUUUCUUACAAAAUACAUGUGGUACAGGUAUGAAGGCCGACACUGAUUAUCAAGUGGUGCUUUAGAAAGUGCAAGUAUGUGUCACAAUAAUGCCUGGAAAUUAGCCAGUGGCUGCAUUAUUUGAGCUAUUUUGGCGUCUCAGCCAUCCUAUAGUUGUUCAGUUUUCUCUUUUGAAACGAGGCUAUCUAGAGGAUUUCAUGUUGUGGUUUAGGAAGGCAUCAGCGAAGAUUGGGAGGUAGAGAGGGAUUGCUCAAGUGGAAACAGAUCAAGAACCAGAAGGAGCUCAAGAUUUUGCUACUUCCUUGGUAAUAGCUUUGUAGAUCAGUUAAAUAUUAUCCAGGACCAUGCACCCGCCCUUGACAAUGGCUUCCAGAAGCUAAGGUUGCAGGGGUGAAUUAAAGUUCGAUUUUCCAGCAGCGAGGUAACUACUACCGGUGGAGAUCGAACUCAUGAGCUCACGAAAAAAACUAUAGACAUCAAACAGCGAAGGAGGUUAGUUUUUACCUGAGUGGAAACAGUAGCUGUAUCGUCUUGCUAGAGCCUCCUUUGUCAUGGAAAGUCACCAGCUUCAGGGAGUGCCAGCACAGCCGGGACAGACGCCACCUACGGUGGGGAGUGACAGUGGCAACUGCGCGGAUUUGGCUCACCCAUAUGAGAAACGGCGGCGCCAUCUACCGAUUUUGUGGUUCUGAGCUCCAGCGGGAGCUGCUGGGCCGUCGGGAUGCAGAUGGAGCCGCUGCAACUCCGAGCUGCCGGGCCACCGAGAUGCAAAUGGAGCCGCAGCGCCACCGAGCUGCAGCGGGAGCUGCUCCACCGCCAAGUUGCAGUGUGAGCCACCGCGAUGAUGGAACCCAAGGUGCCCUCGUCCGCCUCCUCCAUCUGCUUCCUCACUUCACUUCAGUACGAGUACAGGGGAGAGGAAUGGGACGAAGACUGGUGGAUGGAAUCAAGACCAGCGGUCAUGCGAGACACGUGGUAGGCAUUGUGCUACAUGGUGGCAGCUCGUGAAGCAACAAUUGACGUGUGUUGUUGUCUCUCAGCACGUGUAUCUUGAGGGCAUGAUUGUAGUUUUCUUUAUCUUUGAGGUCUGUGAUGUUACUCAAACUAUCAGCCUUUUGGUUUCUGAUUUUAAUGAAAGCAGGGAGGCCCUCCUUGGGGCGCUUGAGUUUAAAAAAAAGACUAGCAAUCAACCACGGG